rnacentral:misc_RNA from 1 species
CAUACGGAGAUAACAAAUUGGAAUACGUACGCGCUGUACGGGUCCAGUGUAAAAUGGAGA